rnacentral:rRNA from 1 species
GAUGAACGCUGACAGAAUGCUUAACACAUGCAAGUCAACUUGAAUUUGGGUUUUUUAACUUAGAUUUGGGUGGCGGACGGGUGAGUAACGCGUAAAGAACUUGCCUCACAGCUAGGGACAACAUUUGGAAACGAAUGCUAAUACCUGAUAUUAUGAUUUUAAGGCAUCUUAGAAUUAUGAAAGCUAUACGCGCUGUGAGAGAGCUUUGCGUCCCAUUAGCUAGUUGGAGAGGUAACGGCUCACCAAGGCGAUGAUGGGUAGCCGGCCUGAGAGGGUGAACGGCCACAAGGGGACUGAGACACGGCCCUUACUCCUACGGGAGGCAGCAGUGGGGAAUAUUGGACAAUGGACCAAGAGUCUGAUCCAGCAAUUCUGUGUGCACGAUGACGUUUUUCGGAAUGUAAAGUGCUUUCAGUUGGGAAGAAAAAAAUGACGGUACCAACAGAAGAAGUGACGGCUAAAUACGUGCCAGCAGCCGCGGUAAUACGUAUGUCACAAGCGUUAUCCGGAUUUAUUGGGCGUAAAGCGCGUCUAGGUGGUUAUGUAAGUCUGAUGUGAAAAUGCAGGGCUCAACUCUGUAUUGCGUUGGAAACUGUGUAACUAGAGUACUGGAGAGGUAAGCGGAACUACAAGUGUAGAGGUGAAAUUCGUAGAUAUUUGUAGGAAUGCCGAUGGGGAAGCCAGCUUACUGGACAGAUACUGACGCUGAAGCGCGAAAGCGUGGGUAGCAAACAGG